rnacentral:piRNA from 1 species
UUCCCAUUCUGAGUAGCACAUUUCCCAAGG